rnacentral:rRNA from 1 species
AGGGGCUGCACUUUUUCCCACUGUUUUUUGUGUGUGAUUGUUCUGAGCUGCGUGGGAUGAAUGUAGUGUACUGCAUGUGCCUAAAAUUUCUAUUACAUAUCGAACAAACCAGAAGCAUCAUUACAAAUAAACUUCACUUUUUACAUAGCGAGCGAACCACAAACAACUGGGCCGCUAGUGUUCAUCGAGUGCACUUCCUUUUCUACUAACACCCUCAGGAUCAUUUGGAUAAUUGCGGCCUGCAAAGAAUAAAAAGUGAACCUCGUCCAUAGUUGUUUUUAUACAAACAGAAUAACCACACACCCCACAAUGAAUUGCAGCGAUUUUCAUCAAGUUGCUACUUUUUUUUCUUUUUCUAAAAUGAGGUUCACCGCGGACGCGGACGAAGCGAGCUGCACUCAAAUGAAAGGGGGUCCAAAUAAAAAUCCAAGCUCUGCAAAACAGCAGAAACAGUCCUGCAAACAACUGCUGCCAAAACUGCACGUCGACGGGCCGCGAGCUGCCCCCGCUAUAGAUGUAGGCUGCAACAUACUCCGGCCGUGUGGACUACACCGUGGAUGAUGGAGCAAAAGGUGGAGGACUUGCAGUGCGGGCAGGUGUGCACUGCACACGGUAGAGGAGGGCGGGAUGGUGUUGAACUCUGGUAGCCAGAUAGCGGCGACGCGCAGACGAGUCCCAGAUCGGGCCUGGAGUCCCGUUGCUACUCGAGGGACAGGGGUCACGGUGAUAGAGAGGAGAGAGUAGCAGGUGGAAAGGGGUCACGGUGGAGCUGUUGCUCACCUGACAAACAACGACUUCAAGGACGUCGGAUGCGUGGGUCAGGGCGAGCUCUAGGGAGAUGAAGUCGAGGAGUCGUCUCGGGGCACGCUGCUUGUCAGAGAGGAGAAUGAGAAGGGGGAAGCCCAUGGGAGGCCGCCGGCCAUCCCCGGAUCUGGGCAGGGCCACGACGAGGACCCAGCCCGAUGCUCUAUCGGAGAGGAGCUGGAGGGAGGAGCCCGUCGUCAGGUCCAGAUCAAGGCAGUAGGCAUGUGGUGGAGGAAGAACAUGUUGUGUGGGGGCCGGAUCCGGUGUCAUGGCAGGUCGGCGGCGCACCGGAGGCGGUCGUGGCUUCCGGUAGCGUUGGAGCAAGUUUGGGGGCGCGGGGGGCAGAUGAAGGAUGAGAGGGGUGCCAGGGGGCGCGGUCGCUCGGGAUCUAGCGCCCGAGCCACGCCGGAGCGACGUGCUUGUGGGGAUGGGGAUGGAGGGUGGUCGCGCAUAGGUGUGGGUUGCGGUCGGGAGAGGUGGGUGGGGGCUCGACAGGGGAAGA